AUUGAACGCUGGCGGCAGGCCUAACACAUGCAAGUCGAACGAGUGGCGGACGGGUGAGUAAUGUCUGGGAAACUGCCCGAUGGAGGGGGAUAACUACUGGAAACGGUAGCUAAUACCGCAUACCAUCGGAUGUGCCCAGAUGGGAUGAGCUAGUAGGAGGGGUAACGGAGCACCUAGGCGACGAUCCCUAGCUGGUCUGAGAGGAUGACCAACCAGACUCGAACUGGGACAAAGUCUAGACUCCUACGGGAGGCAGCAGUGGGAACUAUUGGAAAAUGGGCGAUAGCCUGAUGCAACAAUGCCUCGUGUAUGAAGAAAGCCUUGGGGUUGAAAAGUACUUUCAGCGAGGAGCCGUUGCUCGCUGAAGAAGCGCCGGCUAACUCCGUGCCAGCAGCCGCGGUAAUAC
rnacentral:rRNA from 1 species